AUGGGAAAGAGAGGCAGGAAGACUGUAAGAGCCAGCGGGGAUGAGGACACCAAGGAAACGGGGCCUUCCUGACACAACAGUACUGGUGCACAUAGGAACUCAGAGACUGUGACCCAGCUCCAAGCCAGAUGGACUCCCUCCAUACAUAUGGAGAACUCAUCUCCUCUACAGAGAGGCUAACACACAGAACAAGCACCUGCCCAUCUCUCAUCUUUACAGCAACAUGGAGUGCAAGUAUUUACUGGCUCACUCUCAGAAGGCCGCAGCACUGUUAGCAGCUCCACUUUUGAAGAGGACAGCAAUUAAAAGCCCCACGGAACUUGUGAGUUGUUAGCUUUGUGAAAGUGUUGAAUGCCUGUUCCUGUUAAACUCGCUGCUGUCACAGCACUGUGACUUCUUGGCCUGCUGGAUUCUCAGACUGGGAGAACAUGAGGACAUGCUUUCAUGUUCAACUAUGUGUCGAGCUGAGGCCCUGCACAGAACAGACCCCGUAAGCACUGCCCGAUGAAUUGCAUGGACUAGUUUUUAGGAAACAGCUUCCUGAAAACGUCUACUUCAAAUUCUGGAAAAUACAGAUCAACAUUGCCUUGACCUUGAGGUCUCUAUCCUUACCAGAAGGUCUGGCUCCUAACCCAAUUUCCAUUGUUAGUUGAUUACUUUCAAUAUUGAUGGAUAUUCACUUCCAGAAAACAUUACCAGUAACUUUUAUGAUAUCAUUGAUACUCACUACUCAACCCGAACUGACUAAACCACAAAAUGCAAAAGCAUGCACUUAAGUUCUUCAGGGAAGCCUUGGGACUAUUUUAGUACAGAUUUAGUGGAUGGUAACCUGAGUAAGAGUAAAUGAAACCUUAAUGUAGAUAGUUCUUUUCCUACCAGAGCUUGUAGCAGAUACAUCUUCAGAUGCUUAAAAAUCACACUUUAUUCUGCCAUAGCUCUAAUUAAGAAUUACCUUGAGUCAUAGUAACUUACAAAAACUAUUAUUUAUGUCAUAGAUUAUAUUUUAUUUUCUCCCUUGUUAAGGGGGAAGCAUGAAGAGCUGUUUACUUGGUUACAGAAAUGCCUACUCUAAUUAGUAAAUAAACUACUAUUAAAUUGUUAUUUAAAAAUUGUAGAAUCAUAGAAUGGUUGCAACAAACACCAGUAUGAAACGCGUGAUGGCACUAGAGGUUUAUAACUAGAAGGGGUGAGGUAUCCAGGCACUGGUUAUAACAGAAGAUGAAUCACCUAGUGCCGAGCAAUUCAAGAGUGGCCGAACAAUGAUGGUAUAUUCAUUUUCUUUAAAAACAUGCAUUUU